AAAAUCCGGGGGGCUGAGCUGAGGCGUGAUGACGAGGAACCACGGUUCCGAAGUGAUUGAUACCAAGCUUCCAGGAAAAGCCACUAAGCUUCAGUCUAGAGUUGACCGUACCGCAAACCGACACAGGUGGGCAGGAUGAAAAUUCUAAGGCGCUUGAGAGAACUCAGGAGAAGGAACUCGGCAAAUUAACACCGUAACUUCGGGAGAAGGUGUGCCCCGGUAGCGUGUAGAGACUUGCUCUCGAAGCGCGAUGGGGUUGCAGUGAAAUGGUGGCUGCGACUGUUUAAUAAAAACACAGCACUCUGCAAACACGAAAGUGGACGUAUAGGGUGUGACGCCUGCCCGGUGCCGGAAGGUUAAGUGAUGGGGUGCAAGCUCUUGAUCGAAGCCCCGGUAAACGGCGGCCGUAACGAUAACGGUCCUAAGGUAGCGAAAUUCCUUGUCGGGUAAGUUCCGACCUGCACGAAUGGCGUAACGAUGGCCACACUGUCUCCUCCUGGGACUCAGCGAAGUUGAAAUGUUUGUGAAGAUGCAAUCUACCCGCGGCUAGACGGAAAGACCCCAUGAACCUUUACUGUAGCUUUGCAUUGGACUUUGAACCGGUUUGUGUAGGAUAGGUGGGAGACUGUGAAGCCGGGACGCUAGUUUCGGUGGAGUCAACCUUGAAAUACCACCCUGAUUUGUUUGAGGUUCUAACCUUGGUCCGUGAAUCCGGAUCGGGGACCGUGCAUGGUAGGCAGUUUGACUGGGGCGGUCUCCUCCCAAAAGGUAACGGAGGAGUACGAAGGUACGCUUAGGGCGGUCGGACAUCGCCCACAAAGUGCAAUGGCAAAAGCGUGCUUGACUGCGAGACCCACAAGUCGAGCAGGUACGAAAGUAGGUCAUAGUGAUCCGGUGGUUCUGUAUGGAAGGGCCAUCGCUCAACGGAUAAAAGGUACUCUGGGGAUAACAGGCUAAUUCCUCCCAAGAGUUCAUAUCGACGGGGGAGUUUGGCACCUCGAUGUCGGCUCAUCACAUCCUGGGGCUGUAGUCGGUCCCAAGGGUAUGGCUGUUCGCCAUUUAAAGUGGUACGCGAGCUGGGUUUAAAACGUCGUGAGACAGUUUGGUCCCUAUCUGCCGUGGGCGCUGGAAAUUUGAAGGGGGCUGCUCCUAGUACGAGAGGACCGGAGUGGACGAACCUCUGGUGUACCGGUUAUGACGCCAGUCGUAUCGCCGCCUAGCUAAGUUCGGAAGAGAUAAACGCUGAAAGCAUCUAAGCGUGAAACUCGCCUUAAGAUAAGAUUUCCCGGAGUCUUGAACUCCCUGAAGGGUCGUCGAAGACCACGACGUUGAUAGGUCAGGUGUGGAAGCGCAGCAAUGCGUUAAGCUAACUGAUACUAAUUGCCCGUGCGGCUUGAUGAG
rnacentral:rRNA from 1 species